CAGGAACAGCUGGUUAGCACAGCAGCUAGCUGUUGAGGAAACUUUUAUUAUCAUGUAUCAGUCGUUUAAAACAGAAAGGCAAUACAUACACAUGCUUGUGUUGGUGAGGAUUACUCUGUAGAUUGUUUAUGUUACUCGUUAGAACAAGAGCAGUGAACCAUA